rnacentral:rRNA from 1 species
UACAGGGGGUGCAAACGUUGCUCGGAAUUAUUGGGCGUAAAGCGCGCGUAGGCGGCCACUUAAGUCGGAUGUGAAAGCCCCUGGCUCAACUGGGGAAGUGCACCCGAAACUGAAUGGCUUGAGUGCGAAAGAGGGUCGCGGAAUUCCCGGUGUAGAGGUGAAAUUCGUAGAUAUCUGGAGGAACACCGGUGGCGAAGGCGGCAUCCUGGACCGGCAUUGACGCUGAGGCGCGAAAGCCAGGGGAGCAAACGGG